rnacentral:misc_RNA from 1 species
AACGCACCUUGCGCCCUUUGGUAUUCCGAAGGGCAUGCCUGUUUGAGUGUCAUUAAAUUCUCAACCUUGCAAGCUUGCUUGCGAGGCUUGGAUGUGAGGGUUUUUGCUGGCUUCCUUUAGUUGGAUGGUCUGCUCCCUUUAAAUUCAUUAGUGGGAUCCUUUGUGGAUGGUCACUUGGUGUGAUAAUUAUCUACGCCGUCUGAUCCUGAAACAAGACUUGUGGGGACCUGCUUAUAACCGUCUCUUUGGAGACAAUCUUGACAAUUUGACCUCAAAUCAGGUAGGACUACCCGCUGAACUUAA